CACCGCGGUUAUACGAGAGACCCUAGUUGAUCUCAACGGCGUAAAGAGUGGUUAUGGAGUUUUUUUACUAAAGUGGAAGACCCCUCAAACUGUUAUACGCACCCGGGGGUUAGAACCCCUUACACGAAAGUAGCUUUAUUAGUGUCCACCAGAACCCACGAAAGCCAGGGUA
rnacentral:rRNA from 1 species